rnacentral:lncRNA from 1 species
UGACGGGGAACUCAACAGGAGACUGAUGGAUUCCAUUGUGGGAUGUAUAUCUUUGAUUGUAGAAUAGUGUUAGGGAUUGUGGAAUUAGUUGAUAAACACAGAUGUAUAAUAUCUAGUUGUUCUCUGGUAUUAUGGUGGUUUAUUUGUGUAGUUUGGGAGUGGUUAGGACUUGUAGGUCUUUUUUUAGUUAUAGUGGCAUUCACUCACCACCGUUUCUAUAGAUUUUAUAAAAGCUCUAGCAAAUUUAUGUGUCUGUUGGUUUUGCUUUUGUAAUGUUUUUUCUUUAUAUAAUAGAGUGGGUUUACCUUUUGGAUAAUGGGAAAUGUUUGUGUGUUUUUCUUUUAAAGAUGGCAUGCAUUCUAUUUAUAAAAAAAACAUUACAGCCCAAUAAGUAAUCAUUACAAGCAGCCCAGUACAAAAAAGAUUAACGAAAGUUAAAACAGAUUUUGUUAAGCGUUCCUGCUCGAGCAUGCAGCCAAAGCAGUGAAAGAAGAAACGAGAUAAUCAUGGGAUGAUCCAUCAUAGCGUCCUAGCGAUCAUCAGUUAGUUUAAUUGGAAAGAAUCAGGAAGCCUUCAUCAGUAGAGUGAGUGGAAGAUCGAGCUUACGAAAUGUUUGUGUUUGUGUUAAUAAUAUAGAAGUGGUUGCUAU